AAAGAUUAAGCCAUGCAUGUCUAAGUACAUGUGUAUUUAACACGAAACCGCGUAUGGCUCAUUAUAACAGCUAAAAUUUACUUGAUUUUGACUUUUAUCCUACAUGGAUAACUGCGGUAAUUCUGGAGCUAAUACAUGCAUAAAAGAUGAAACAUUUAUCUGUUUCAUUGCGUAUAUUAGUAUUAAAACCAAGCAUUCUUCGGAAUGUUUUGUGUUGAAACUGAAUAUAUCAUGCUGAUCGUAUGGUCUUGUACCGACGACAUGUCAUUCAAGUGUCUGAUCUAUCAACUUUCUAUAUAAGUAUAUAGUACUUAUAUGGUUUUGACGGAUAACGGGGUAUUAGGGUACGACUCCGGAGAAAAUGCCUGAGAAACGGCGUUUACAUCCAAGGAAGGCAGCAGGCGCGAAAAUUACCCACUCUCAGUACGAGGAGGUAGUGACGAGAAAUGACAAGAUCUAUUCCUUCGGGGAUGGAUCAUUGGAAUGGUUUGAUUUUAAAAUCAUUAAAGAGUAUCAAUGAGAGGGCAAGUCUGGUGCCAGCAGCCGCGGUAAUUCCAGCUCUCAUACUGCAUUGAAUUGUUGUUGCGGUUAAAAAGCUCGUAGUUGGAUCUGUACAUGAUAGGUUAGUUUAUUCUUUACGGAAUAUAACUAAUACUAAAUGUUUUUUGUUAGAUUUAUUUAUGUCCGUAAGGAUAUAAAUUGUCUAACGAGUUUACUUUGAAUAAAUCAGAGUGCUCAAAACAGGCGUAAGCUUGUAUGGUUUUGCAUGGAAUAAUAGUACAUGACUAUGGUUCAUGUUUUAUUGGUUUUACUUACCAUAGUAAUGAUUAAAAGGAACAAACGGGGGCAUCCGUAUCGCAGGGCGAGAGGUGAAAUUCGUGGACCCUUGCGAGACGAACUACAGCGAAAGCAUUUGCCAAGAAUG
rnacentral:rRNA from 2 species